AGUUGCGUCCGUUUUUCGAUAAAAGAGAGAGAGAGGAGGGAAGGGAGGAGAGGAGGUUGGGGCCCGACUUUCACCGGGACCCCGCAUUCUUCCGUCACAGGGGCCGGUGUACAUCGACGUUGACAAGAGUCGGACGGCGAUUAAUCAUCGCCUCUCUCGUCGAGGAAGAAGAGAAAAAAGAGAGAGGAAAAAAAGGAGGAAAGUUUUCGUACCACGGUGUGUAUUCCAGUCACGGUGGAUCGCGCCAGUUCGCCGCCGUAUCUUUAUCACAGGCUGAUAAUGGAUCAUUAUCCGCCGCGCUUUGUCCGCCGGUUGAACGAACCCGGGAUGCCCGAAUACGAAUCCGCGGACGCAUUCACGGAUUAUUCAAAGGUUUCUUUCUCUUUUUCUCUCUCUCUCUCUCUCGAGCACGUACACGUACACGCACGCGCAGGCGCACAGACGUUCGCGUCACGGUGUUGCGCGAGAGGCCUUUGUUGUUGCGAAUCCUUGGUCGUGGCAUUCUUUCACGGCGAUGCGACGAAACGCGGACGCGAGCUAUUAAUCAUCGGUGGCCGAGGAUUUAGAAAAAACAUCGGGGGCCUCGGUGUCCUUCUCGAUGACAGAAUCUAGACAUCCGAGGCCUCGAGAUGAUACGUUCGAUCCGUGUUUACGCGAGAUUCUGCUCGUCGAUCGACACCGGACGAGCUUUGUGAUCCGUGAUUUCUUCUCUUUUUGCGUAUGGAUCUUUCUUGGAGUGAAAAUUGAUAGGGAUUAACGAUAGCAGAGAACGUCCAAUCGUUACUCAUCGGCGAUCUUACGACAAAAUAUACGAAACGUCAACGAUGUGUGUCUUACCACUCGAGGCAGCUGUAAACGUUCGCUUUUGUGUUACGCUACACGUUCGGAUAGCUUAGCAUAAACAAAAGAAAAGUGGAGGAAACGACGACGAAACGUGGCUGUGCGGCAACGAAAUGGUAAUUCUCAUAGUGAUGGAACGUACAUUACAAAUUAGGAACGUUAUAUGAAAUAGAAAAUGAGAAAUAAAUGUUAUAUCUUUUGAAGAAAA